rnacentral:rRNA from 1 species
GAUGAACGCUAGCUACAGGCUUAACACAUGCAAGUCGAGGGGUAACGAGAGGAACGCUUGCUUUCCUUGUUGACGACCGGCGCACGGGUGAGUAACGCGUAUCCAACCUGCCCCCAACUAGGGAAUAACCUUGCGAAAGUAAGACUAAUACCCUAUAAUUUCCUCAGAUGUCAUCUGACGAGGAAUAAAGAUUUAUCGGUUGUGGAUGGGGAUGCGUCUGAUUAGCUUGUUGGCGGGGUAACGGCCCACCAAGGCAACGAUCAGUAGGGGUUCUGAGCGGAAGGUCCCCCACAUUGGAACUGAGACACGGUCCAAACUCCUACGGGAGGCAGCAGUGAGGAAUAUUGGUCAAUGGGCGGAAGCCUGAACCAGCCAAGUAGCGUGCAGGAUGACGGCCCUAUGGGUUGUAAACUGCUUUUAUACAGGAAUAAAGUUAGCCACGUGUGGUUAUUUGUAGGUACUGUAUGAAUAAGGACCGGCUAAUUCCGUGCCAGCCGCCGCAGUAA